rnacentral:rRNA from 1 species
UACGGAGGGGACUAGCGUUGUUCGGAAUUACUGGGCGUAAAGCGCACGUAGGCGGAUUGUUAAGUCAGGGGUGAAAUCCCGAGGCUCAACCUCGGAACUGCCUUUGAUACUGGCAAUCUCGAGUCCGGAAGAGGUGAGUGGAAUUCCUAGUGUAGAGGUGAAAUUCGUAGAUAUUAGGAAGAACACCAGUGGCGAAGGCGGCUCACUGGUCCGGUACUGACGCUGAGGCGCGAAAGCGUGGGGAGCAAACAGG